GCCGGGCAGCCUGCGCCCUCCGAGCCAUUGUUCUGCGGCCCAGGCCCAUGAUCACCCUCCUUUCAGCCCACGGACAGGAAGUCGCUCCCCAGCUGCCCCGCCCCGCUCCCCAGCGCCCCGGAAGUGAUCUGUGGCGGCUGCUGCAGAGCCGCCAGGAGGAGGGUGGAUCUCCCCAGAGCAAAGCGUCGGAGUCCUCCUCCUCCUUCUCCUCCUCCUCCAGAGCCCAGGCUCCCCCGCCACCCGUCAGACUCCUCCUUCGACCGCUCCCGGUGCGGGGCCUUCCAGGCGACAAGGACUGAGUACCCUCCGGCCGGAGCCACGCAGCCGCGGCUUCUGGAGCCCUCGGGGCGGCGGACUGGCUCGCGGUGCAGGUCAGGGCUGCGAUAAGACCCGGUCACGGGUGACCCUGCAGGAGUGGAAUGAUCCUCUUGACCAUGACCUUUGAGGCCCAGCUCAUCUACCGGCACCUGCUGGACGUGGAGGCCAUGCUGUGGAUCAGCAUUAACAAGGACUUCAAGGUACCCAAUGCCUGUUUAUUCACCAUCAACAAAGAAGACCACACACUGGGAAACAUCAUUAAAUCACAACUCCUUAAGGACCCGCAAGUGC
rnacentral:lncRNA from 1 species